rnacentral:rRNA from 1 species
GUGUCAGCAGCCGCGGUAAGACAGAGGGUGCUAGCGUUGUUCGGAAUUACUGGGCGUAAAGGGCGCGUAGGCGGCCCGUUUAGUCGGGUGUGAAAUCCCGGGGCUCAACCCCGGAACUGCAUUCGAUACUGGCGGGCUCGAGACCGGAAGAGGUGGGUGGAAUACCCAGUGUAGAGGUGAAAUUCGUAGAUAUUGGGUGGAACACCGGUGGCGAAGGCGGCUCACUGGUCCGGUUCUGACGCUGAGGCGCGAAAGCGUGGGGAGCAAACAGGAUUAGAUACCCUGGUAGUCC